AACUAUCAACCCCCCUGUUUUGUAAUGAGACGGGCGUUUGGGCUUGGAUUAUGGUUGCUGUCGGACCUCCAAAGGAUCGGCUCGACUGAAAUACACGAGCGUUUCCCAGCUAUAAUUAGCAACGGCUUGACUCGGCGUUAUAGAAAUAUUCGCUGAUUACGUUGCAUUAACGAUUGUACCGUGGGCGCUUCUAAUGCGACUUUAACUAGUCAUUGAUCU
rnacentral:misc_RNA from 1 species